rnacentral:rRNA from 1 species
AGAGUUUGAUCCUGGCUCAGGAUGAACGUUGGCGGCGUGCCUAAUACAUGCAAGUCGAACGGUAGUUGAGCAUUCGUGCUUGAUGAGAGUGGCGAACGGGUGAGUAACACGUAACUGAUCUGCCCUUUAGACUGGGAUAACCUUUGGAAACAGAGGCUAAUACCGGAUGAGUUCGCGGUAGUUAGAGAGCCGUGAGGAAAGGCUAAUGCGCUAAGGGAUGAGGUUGCGGGCCAUCAGCUAGUUGGUGAGGUAAAGGCUCACCAAGGCGAUGACGGUUAGGGGAUCUGAGAGGGUGGCCCCCCACACUGGGACUGAGACACGGCCCAGACUCCUACGGGAGGCAGCAGUAAGGGAUAUUGCACAAUGGACGGAAGUCUGAUGCAGCGACGCCGCGUGGGUGAAGAAGGUUUUCGGAUCGUAAAGCCCUUUUCUAUGUGACGAGAGAGGACGGUAGCAUAGGAAUAAGUGUCGGCUAACUACGUGCCAGCAGCCGCGGUAAAACGUAGGACGCGAACGUUAUCCGGAGUUACUGGGCGUAAAGCGCGCGUAGGCGGUUGGUUAAGUUACCUAUGAAAGAUACAGGCUAAACUUGUAUUGGUUAGGUGAAACUGGCUAACUAGAGAGAAAUAGAGGGAAGUAGAAUUCCGGGU